AUUGAACGCUGGCGGCAUGCCUUACACAUGCAAGUCGAACGGUAACGGGCCUUCGGGUGCCGACGAGUGGCGAACGGGUGAGUAAUGCAUUGGAACGUACCCAUUAGUGGGGGAUAACUCUCCGAAAGGAGGGCUAAUACCGCAUAUUCUGUGAGCAGGAAAGCAGGGGAUCGCAAGACCUUGCGCUGAUGGAGCGGCCGAUGUCAGAUUAGCUAGUUGGUGAGGUAAAGGCUCACCAAGGCGACGAUCUGUAGCGGGUCUGAGAGGAUGAUCCGCCAAACUGGAACUGAGACACGGUCCAGACUCCUACGGGAGGCAGCAGUGGGGAAUUUUGGACAAUGGGGGCAACCCUGAUCCAGCCAUGCCGCGUGAGUGAAGAAGGCCUUCGGGUUGUAAAGCUCUUUCGGCCGGGAAGAAAUCGCAUGGGUUAAUACCCUGUGUGGAUGACGGUACCGGAAUAAGAAGCACCGGCUAACUACGUGCCAGCAGCCGCCGUAA
rnacentral:rRNA from 1 species